GAGGGAGGGUGCUUGGUGGCUUAGUUGGUUAAGCAUCUGAAUCUUGAUGUCAGCUCAGGUCAUGAUCUAAGGGUUGUGGGAUCGAGCCCUGUGUCUGGUUCCACAUUCAGUGGGGAGUCUGCUUGAGGAUUCUUUCCCUCUCUUUCUCCCUCUGCCCCUCCAUGCCUCUCCCACUCCACUCCCUCUCCAAAAAAAAAAACUUUAAAAACUAUUUUUUAAAAAAAAUUUUUGAACAGAAAAUUGGAGGAAAUAAUAUAACACCUGUCACCAACAUUUAGUAACUUAUAUUUCCCUAUAUUCCCUUCAUUAUUGUUUUGCUUUCCACCAAGUAUUUACAGUAAAUUAGAUACGAGAAAAACUUCACCCCUGAAGUAUGAUUCUGAAGAAUAAGGGCAUCUUCCUACAUAACUGCAGCUCAGAGUUUCAAUAAUACUAAGUUUUUGGUUUUGGUUUUUUUUUAAGAUUAUUUAUUCAUGAGAGACACAGAGAGAGAGGCAGAGACACAGGCAGAGAGAGAAGCAGGCUCCGUGCAGGGAGCCCAACAUGUUACUCCAUCUUAGAUCCCGGGAUCACACCCCGAGCCAAAGGCAGACACUCAAUCACUGAGCCACCCAGUGUCCCCAAUAAUACUAAGUUAAUGAUAAUUUCGUAAUAUAGGAUAAUCGGCUCACAUGCAGUUUUGCCCAAUUGUCCCCAAGAUGGGUCUUUGUUCAAAUCAGGGUAAACCCGGGAUCACACAUGCACUUGGUUGCAAUCAUCUGUCAGACCUCUUUCAGCCUGGAAUGGCUGUCACAACAGCCUGUGGAGGCACCAGCUGUCCUGCAGAAAACUCCUUCCAGAUUCAGCCUUUGCUUCCUCCUGGUGUCAUCCGGCUUGCUCCUCCAUCCCCUAAAUUUCUUGUACACUGGAAGUUAGUUGUAAAGCUUCAUAGAUUCAGGCUCAGCCUCUGGGGCAAGAACACCUAAGAGGUGAGGCUCAGUAGAGCCUUUUUUAUUUUUUUCAUUUUGUUUUUUAUUUGAAAGAGAGAGAGAACAUGAGCAGGGGAGAGGCAGAGAGAGAAGCAGAUUCCCUGCUGAGCAGGGAGCCCAACACGGGGCUUGAUCUCGAUCUCGGGACCCUGAGAUCAGGACCUGAGCUGAAGGCAGGCGCUUUGCCCACUGAGCCACCUGGGCAUCCCUCAGGAAGGCCAGGACUGUGGGGCGCCCAGACUACAAGUGCACGCAAAUCUCCCGCUUCUGCUUAGAAAGCUCAUUCUGCUUCAGCAAGGCUGGUCUGGGCAGUGAGGCUGGGCUGCUGGUCCAAGGGCGGGGAGCAGGGGACAUCUCCAAGGUCACCCACUCCUGGGCUCCUGUGGGCUGGGAGGUGGGCGUGGCAUCAGGACCAGGCAGGAGACAGUCAUAAAUGUCACACUCUUUGCGUCUCUAGGGAUGCUCCAGGCAAUGGCUUGUCCCAAAGUGCCAGAACAUUCUGACCAGCCAGAGACCUUAGGAUCUCAGAGAGAGAGAGAAUACUCGGCGGGGGUGGUGGCCUCAGAUGCCCCCCCUGGACUGCGCCCCCAAGUCUUGGCCUGGAGGGCCCUGAGGGCCUGGCCAGAGGCACUGAAGUGGGAGAGGAAGGAAGCAGGGAGCAGAGGAGGCCAAGACUGCCGCCUCCCAGCCUCAAGAGGGGCCUGGAGUAAACAGGAAGGCCUGGCGGCUCCACGGUGGGGGGGCUUCGGAGGGGUGGGGGCUAGGGCCCUACUGCACAUGUGCAGCCUGUGAGCUCAGGGCUUCCUUAUGGGGGAAGCUGACCCAGGGAGGUUGUAUGACUUGCCCCAGGCCACACAGCAAGGCAGGGGUACUGGGCUAGACCCUCACCUGCUUCUCCUGCUUCUGCCCCCUUCUCAGUCCUCUGGUGCAGUGUCUCCUGCCUGUGUUGCCCUCUACGGUUCAAGGAGUGCUGGGUGAGUCUCUCUCCUCCGUGGGCCUCACCUUUUUUUCUAUGCACUCUGAGACUUACAACUUAGAGGUUCUAGAAUCCUGACCCAGUGAAUUCUCCUGCCUCCUAGGUGGUCAUCAAGGGUUCUUUGGACCCUAGGGAGCAGAUUUCGUCAGAAAGGCCAACAUUCAGGAGGCAGCAGGUACCUGUCCUUGGGGAAUGAGAAGGAGAAUCUGAGGGACUUCUCUCUUCUAGAACAGAGCAGAGUCUGGCAGUACCACUGACCCUCGUGACCACCAUGUCCCCAUGGAGAAAAUUCUCCCUCUCAGAGACCCUGUCCUUGGGCUCAGAAUGCCUCCAACACCCACACCCUGAGGCCUCAGAAUCACAACCUUGAGCUGCAACCUUGAGCUGCUAGCCCAUUCAUUUAUUUUAUCAGUACUUCUCAAACACCUCCCACAGGCCAGGCACUAUUUGAAGUGAUGGGUAUUGGGCAGUGAACAAAGCAAGGCCCGUGCCCUCAUGGAACUUCUAGAGGUGGAGACAGACAAAACAACAAAACAAAAACAAAAACAAACACACACAAUAUAUAGCGUGUCAGAUGGAGAAUAAUUGCUGAUGUGGGGAGGGGGCUAUUUUGAAUGCCAUGGUCAGGGAAGUCCUCACUGACCAUGGGACAUUUGAUCUGUGACUUAAAGCCCUGUGGUUAUCUAGGGGAAGAGGGACUGGCAAGUGCAAAGGCCCUGGGGUGUGUGUGUGCCUGGCACAUUCCAGGAACAGCAAGGAGGCCAGUUUGGCUGGAGUUUGGGGAACAAGAUAGAGCAGAGCAGAAGGCGAGGUUGGAGAUGGGACAGGUGAAACCUAGCUGGCCAUUUGAGGGGCUCUGGCUUUUACACUGAGUGAGAUGGAGACCCAAGAUGGGUGCUGAGCAGGAGGAUGGAACUUGGCUCAACUUUAACUGCCUCCCUUUACUGUGUGCAGAAUGGGCUGGGGUAAGCGUGGCAGGAAGGAAACUCUGUAAGGAGGUGACUGCAAUAUUCUAGGAGGUGCUGGUGGUGGCCAGGGUGGUAGCUGUGGUGGGACCCCACGAACACUGGGAAAUUGGGUGAGCCACCGACAAGAUUCGCUUGUAGGUUGGAUGGGCAGGGGGAGUGAGAGUCAACAUCCACCUCAGGUCUUGAGCAAUGAGAGGAGGGAAUCUGUUAUGGUCUCAGAUGGAGACACUGAGGCAGGAGGGGUUGGCAGAAGAACCAACAGCAUGUGGUUUGAGAUGCAUGACGUCUGAGCUGCUUAUUUGACGUCCAGGAGCCUGGAGCCUGGGGGAGAGUUCUGGCUGGAAGUAGAAAGCCAUCAGUAUAUAGAGAUGGUACUUAAAGCCAUUUACUUGGAUGAGGGCACCCAGAACAGCACUUCUCAAAUUUAAAGUGUCCACGGAUGCCCGGGGGGUCUUGAGAAAAAUGCAGGCUCUGAGCCAGCAAGUCUCUGGGUCAGAGCUGGAGAGAAGCUCUCGGGAGAUCCUAAGCCCACACUUGGAGUGGCAGGGAACUAAGGCAUGGUAUUUUAUGGCCAAGACCCACUGGUGGGUCAUGAAAUCAAUAGAGUGGCUUGUGAUCAGUAUUUGAAAGGAAACGAGACAAGAGGGAUAAGCAUCAUAAGGGCAUAUAUACACGUCCACAAAACAUUGCAACUGUCGGAGCCCAAGUCCCAGGGUUUGUGUUGGGACACAACUGCAUGGUCUCAAAGGUUUGUGAAACCCUGGCCUGGGGAGCGCCUGGGUGGCUCAGUGGUUAAGUGUCUGCCUUUGGCUCAGGGCAUGAUCCCGGGAUCCGGGAUCGAGUCCCACUUCGGGCUCCUUGCGGGGAGCCUGUUUCUCCUUCUGCCUGUGUCUCUGCCUCUCUCUGUGUGUCUCAUAAA
rnacentral:lncRNA from 1 species